CAGCCACAGCGCCAGCGGAGGAAACACCAGACCCUGAGCUGCAGACCACAGACAGACAGACAGACUUCAUCAAACACAGCAUCACAGCACCACAGACUCGUAUGCAGGAGGAGAUCAAGCACUGCACAUACUCUACUGCCGACUGUAGAUCAGCGUCACCAGCAGCUCAGUGUGGAUCAGACUCAGAGAGCGAUAUCACAGCCUCUGAACUCCCGCGAGGCGUUAACGUGAAGGAGAAAACAGACAGAGGAGCUAAGCUGCGUUGCCAAAGACACACAAGGACGAACGCACAUCCUGGCUCUCACCUCCAACACUUUCUCAAGUGUCUGGAUUCACACGAGCAUUUUACAUCGCUUACAUUUCCAACAUCAUGUUCCAGUGCUGCAGUCUGGAUGCAAAACAUUACUCUAUAAGGAUUGUAAAAUAUCAAGCACAAAGAUGAUUCAAAACAUUGCAAACUUGCAAAAAACGGGACUCUGAACGACGUGUCUCCCAUGGCAACCACGGGAGUUCCAGGCUCCGCCCCUCCACUCACGACCAGAGCGAACAGCCCAGCUCCACUUCUGAGGGGGUUUUUUCUGUUGUUGUUCUUU